rnacentral:rRNA from 1 species
GAACGCUGGCGGCGUGCUUAACACAUGCAAGUCGAGCGGAAAGGCCCUUCGGGGUACUCGAGCGGCGAACGGGUGAGUAACACGUGAGUAACCUGCCCCAGGCUUUGGGAUAACCCUCGGAAACGGGGGCUAAUACCGGAUAUGACCUCCUGUCGCAUGGUGGGGGGUGGAAAGUUUUUCGGCUUGGGAUGGGCUCGCGGCCUAUCAGCUUGUUGGUGGGGUGAUGGCCUACCAAGGCGACGACGGGUAGCCGGCCUGAGAGGGCGACCGGCCACACUGGGACUGAGACACGGCCCAGACUCCUACGGGAGGCAGCAGUGGGGAAUAUUGCACAAUGGGCGGAAGCCUGAUGCAGCGACGCCGCGUGAGGGAUGACGGCCUUCGGGUUGUAAACCUCUUUCACCCAUGACGAAGCGCAAGUGACGGUAGUGGGAGAAGAAGCGCCGGCCAACUACGUGCCAGCAGCCGCGGUAAGACGUAGGGCGCGAGCGUUGUCCGGAUUUAUUGGGCGUAAAGAGCUCGUAGGCGGC